AGAAGCUGAAUGCAGUCACAAAGAGAGCAAAGCACUUUGUAAAGUGAACUCAAUACCCCCGUUGGGGCUCAGAAAACAGUACCCCAAAGUGAAGUCCUCAGAAGCAGCCCCAAAAGAACCCCGCCUUUUUGUGUAACAGUUGGCCAUAAAGAAAUUAAGACCUUCAUUCCAGAGAGUCCUAUUGCAUGCCUGAGAGGGAGGAAGGCUGCACAGAGACGCCAAGAAGCUGGACAGUCCUUGCUGGGUUUCCCCACUCAGUCUUUAAGCAUUCGAUCAUACCCCUUCUGUCCAGUUGUAUUUUACAUGGCUGUCCAUACAUCAUUGAAUGUCAGUGUAAAAAUGGAUUGUUUUCCCUGUAUCUUUGGGUCUUUAUUCUGAAGUCUCUUUUAAAACUAUGAUCAAAUAAAUUUGUAUGCCUU
rnacentral:lncRNA from 10 species